CCAGUUGCCAGUUGCCAGUCCAUCAAUCAUUUAGCUCCAACUCCAUCUACCGAGUUCCAUAUCCAUGGAUAUACGGAUCCGCAGAUCCAAGAAGCGGUUUCAUUAACAGCCGCUCGUCAAGUGGUUUUUCGGGCUCAUUGUUGCAUUUUGUCCUACGAUCGCCGACGGCGCAGCCUUCAAAGGCAUUCCACUGGCCAGUCGCUUUAUCUGCAUUCAUCAGUCGCCAAACAAAACAAGUCAACUGGCUUCAUUUGUAAUGGAUCUCCGUUGGGAUGGAGCAGAACGAGCUGCAGCUGGAGCUGGAACUUUAGCUGGACUGGAGCCCUAGCUGACUCCUGGCCAAGUUGGAGGCGGCUGCGCAGUAGUCAGGCCACUGAUUGCCUUGCAUUAAUCAUCGAGAGUCGGCACUUGGAACUGGGAGUGGAUCACAAAGCAAUACACUCGCAGAAAUUUUGAAAUGUAUCGCUAGUGAUCGUAGGUAAACCAAAACUGUAUUUAAUCGGAAUUUGAAUUCAAGGUUAUAUAUGCCUACAAGUUAUGGUCUUUAUUUUCUUAUUAACUGAACUAUAAUAUAAAAUUUCAAUGUUUGUAUGUAUUUUAAAAGGUAUUAAAAAAUAUUAAAUACAGAG
ensembl:ncRNA lncRNA:CR43491 long non-coding RNA:CR43491